rnacentral:rRNA from 1 species
GGGCCCGCACAAGCGGUGGAGCAUGUGGUUUAAUUCGAUGAUACGCGAGGAACCUUACCAGGGCUUAAAUGUAGUGGGACAGGUCUAGAGAUAGACCCUUCUUCGGACUACUUACAAGGUGCUGCAUGGUUGUCGUCAGCUCGUGCCGUGAGGUGUCAGGUUAAGUCCUAUAACGAGCGCAACCCCUAUCGUUAGUUGCCAGCAAUUAAAGUUGGGUACUCUAGCGAGACUGCCGGUGCAAACCGUGAGGAAGGUGGGGAUGACGUCAAAUCAUCACGGCCCUUACGUCCUGGCUACACACGUGCUACAAUGGCCGGUACAGAGAGCAGCCAAACUAAGGAGAGGUCUG